AACUUAGAAUGUAGACUAUAUCAGUUCCAAAUUUGGAGCAGUCCUCCUGCCUCAGCUUCCCAGGUGCCGGGAGGACAGGUUGAGCCGUUAUUCCCAACUUUAUGAGUGAUAUCAAAUCACAAGACCCACGCAGAGGUGGGAUUUGAGACUGUGCCACUUGCAGCUUAGAGACCUGGAAGCUGAGACUCAAGAGAUAGAAGAAGGUGACCUGAGGGGUCGCUCUGGGACGACCCAACUUCCUGUUACUUUAGGAGAAAAGUGCUGGGUGGCCUGCCUGCCUGGACAUGUGCACUGAUUGGUUACAGAGCAAAGGGGACAAGGGGAAGCCGGGGUCUACUUCCUUCUGCGAUCACUGCAGGACUUUCAGGACCUGCCGGACUCAGCGUACGGACGCUGAGGCUGGGGGAUGAAGUUGCCCGAGAUCACACUGUGGGUUAAUAAUGGAGCCAGGCUCUGCACAGGAGUCGGCCGUGAACCUCCUGUUUGAAGUCCCCUGCAGCCAGUUAGCAGGCAUUCCUCUUCCCUCCCAUCUCUGUCAACCACCGAGGUAUUUGGGUGGAUUGCCUCUUCUGUACACUUUAUAGAGAUAGAAUCGAAUACCAUGUGGUCUCUGUUCCUGA